UCAAACUCUGGAACUUGCCUCACAAUACCAACUAAUUAUAGGUUCAUAAUAACAAUUGGCAUCAAACAAUUAUAAAAAUGAACUUCACUACAUAUGGGAUAACUAGAGUAGCAAUCAGUUAGCUUGGUCACCAUGAAAGUUAGGUGAGUAACAAGAAAAAUGUAUUUUAACACAGUCUUAACUAAAUUGAAAUGCCGAAACAAGUUUACACAACAAUACGAGACAAAAGAUGUAAUUUCCUAAAUCCCCAUGUAAUAACAAUUCUCACACUAACCCCUUUUGCAUUUCCUUCCGCGUUUCCAUUCACCUUGCUAAUUGUCACGAUCAUCGAAAUUCAUAGUUCUUCUUCGUCAUUGAGGCGAACUCAAGAUUAGAACAUGCGUUCCACAUCUUCAACUGUUUAGUUCGUCGCUAGGUUAACUGAGGAAGUGCUAAUGGUAGAGGAUUGGCCGAUUGAUGAUUCUUCUUUCACAACCUAGUCCCAAAAUCCAUACUUGGCACUGCAACAAAGGAAUAAUCGCCUUUAUAGACUAUCUCUUUCUCUACCAUGAAACAGUUCUCGAAUCCAUGCUUGCAUAAUGGGCAUCGACGUUUUCGUGGACAUUCAACAAAGGAGUGGCCCUUAGCUCUAUAACUGUGACAAAUUCCAUAAUUCUGUCCACCCAUUCUACGAGGAGAAUAAACCACAUAUCACGGUCAGCAUGAAANN
rnacentral:lncRNA from 1 species